rnacentral:rRNA from 1 species
GGGGAAUUUUGCGCAAUGGACGAAAGUCUGACGCAGCGACGCCGCGUGGGUGAUGAAGGCCCUCGGGUUGUAAAGCCCUGUGGGGAGGGAAGAAUAAGGGUACGUAAAUAGCGUAUCUGAUGACGGUACCUCCUUAGCAAGCACCGGCUAACUCUGUGCCAGCAGCCGCGGUAAGACAGAGGGUGCAAACGUUGUUCGGAAUUACUGGGCGUAAAGCGCGUGUAGGCGGCUAAGCAAGUCGGGUGUGAAAGCCCUUGGCUCAACUGAGGAAGAGCACUCGAAACUGCGUAGCUUGAGUUCUGGAGAGGAUGGUGGAAUUCUCGGUGUAGAGGUGAAAUUCGUAGAUAUCGAGAGGAACACCAGUGGCGAAGGCGGCCAUCUGGACAGAAACUGACGCUGAGACGCGAAAGCGUGGGUAGCAAAC